rnacentral:rRNA from 1 species
GAUGAACGCUGGCGGCGUGCCUAAUACAUGCAAGUCGAGCGAACAGACGAGGAGCUUGCUCCUCUGACGUUAGCGGCGGACGGGUGAGUAACACGUGGAUAACCUACCUAUAAGACUGGGAUAACUUCGGGAAACCGGAGCUAAUACCGGAUAAUAUAUUGAACCGCAAGGUUCAAUAGUGAAAGACGGCUUUGCUGUCACUUAUAGAUGGAUCCGCGCCGCAUUAGCUAGUUGGUAAGGUAACGGCUUACCAAGGCAACGAUGCGUAGCCGACCUGAGAGGGUGAUCGGCCACACUGGAACUGGGACACGGUCCAGACUCCUACGGGAGGCAGCAGUAGGGAAUCUUCCGCAAUGGGCGAAAGCCUGACGGAGCACCGCCGCGUGAGUGAUGAAGGUCUUCGGAUCGUAAAACUCUGUUAUUAGGGAAGAACAAAUGUGUAAGUAACUAUGCACGUCUUGACGGUACCUAAUCAGAAAGCCACGGCUAACUCCGUG